UCCACUGGUGGCCAGGAGGGGGCGGCCCUGUGCUGAAACAGCUGGGACCAGCAUUUCCAGAAGGACUCUGGGGGUCCCCGCCUGCCUGAAACAGGAUGAGGACCCUGGGGAUUUUUCUGGGGUCCAAGAGGGUAGGAGAGGGUCAUGUCUCUCCAGCCCCCGACAGUGGGGGAAGAAAUUCGGGAGCCAGAGAAUUGAGGAGGGAAAUGGGUACUUGCCUUCAUCGGAGCCUCUGAGGGGGAAGAAGUCGAGGCCAUACGUUCUGACCGGGAGAGAGGCUGGAGCCAGAAGGAGAGUGCUUGCUGCCCGAGGAUCCAGGAGAGGUGUGGAGGGGCACAUGCUGGGAGCGACUCGGGGUUGCUGGGCCAGGCCUCUCCCAGCACGGCCAGGGCCCUGUGUUCCACCCCCACCGGGGACCCCCCUCUUCUUAGCACCCUGUGCUUGCGGCAGCAGCUCCAGUAACUUCCACCCAAGAUUCUGCACACCACAGAAGGGACCUCAGUUCAGAACCCACCCGUUGACCUGAUUCUUCAGUGCAAUGUAGCCCAUUGCAUUCAAUACAGAAUGUAAGGAUCGGGGGUUGCGGUUAUUAGCCAACAUUCGUUCAUUCAUUCCCUCAUACAUUCCAGAAACCCGGCAGUCCUCAGUUGCUCUGUGCCCACCUCCCUGCAUAGCUGUGUAGGUUAAAUAAGGUCAUGAAGGUUGAGCCACCCACGGAGGGCUGCGUGGUGCAUCGCAGGCUGGGUGAGCCUGGCUUCCUCCUUAUCACCGCCAAGCCUCCCCUGCCCUCUCGCUGCCGGGCAUCCAGGUGAGUCACUGACGGGCCACCUCCAUCUUCCAAGUCCUCUGGGUGCACCUGUUUAGAAAGGACCGAGCCGCCAGCCCCGCGCGGCUCUGAGCAUCUUACUGCUUUGUCCGGAAACCCGCAAUUGCCUUCCAGAUAAAGUUCGGACUUCUGAGUAUGGCAUUCAAGGCCCUGUAUGACCCAGAUCAACAGCUCUGACGCUCUCCUUCCUUUUGGCUGGCCUCCCUUCAGGCUGGUGGAGUGGCUCCCUAGCUCCUAGACUUGUCCUGGAGGGCUGGACAUUGGCAAAGCUCCCUAGUCUCAGCUUCUGUCCCUGCAGGUCUGUGCCCUCGGCCUUCCUGUCCCCAGCCCCUCUGAGGGGAGUUGGUGGGAACCUUCGUGGUUGGGCUUGGCACCUCAUUUUCGGCCCCUCUGGCCUGGCCAUCCCUGAAGGUAGUUUGAAGAUGGACCCAUUUCUGUCUCCUGUGUCAUCUAAGAGUAUUGGAUAAUAGCGCAUUUGUGCCCUCUGGGAGUUGGGGGGGCAGAGGCUGCUGAUGUGAACGGACUCCCAGAGACUGGGUGUGGUUUCUGUUUUCUCCUUGUCUCCACAUGGUCCUUUUAUCUGUCCAGUACCGGAUGCACUGCCUGUGUGGGACCUGGAACCAGAGACAGAGAGAGAGAGAGACAAACGUUUGCUUUAGGGCUAGCCUGGGAAGAGCUUGGUGUCCAUCGGACCCGGGACCCGUGCUGUGCUCCCACCCGGUGCCUGGGGUCCUCUGCUGUCAGUCAUCUCUACCUCCAUGUGAAUAAGGGUCCUCUCAGCCAGUCCCGUAGGAAAUAAAAUCAAGAUUACACUGGUAAGGAGAGCA
ensembl:lncRNA